UCAGCCGCCGCGGUAAUACGUGGGGUGCAAGCGUUGUUCGGAAUUACUGGGCGUAAAGCGCGUGUAGGCGGUCUGUUAUGUCAGGUGUGAAAGCCCUCGGCCUAACCGAGGAAGUGCGCCUGAAACUGGCAGUCCUGAGUACGAGAGAGGAGGACGGAAUUCCCAGUGUAGAGGUGAAAUUCGUAGAUAUUGGGAGGAACACCGGCGGCGAAAGCGGUCCUCUGGAUCGAUACUGACGCUAAGACGCGAAAGCGUGGGUAGCAAACAGGAUUAGAUACCCUGGUAGUCCACGCUGUAAACGAUGGAUAUUAGAUGUUGCGGGUUUAAACCUCGCAGUGUCGACGCUAACGCAUUAAAUAUCCCGCCUGGGGAGUACGGCCGCAAGGUUAAAACUUAAAGGAAUUGGCGGGGGAU
rnacentral:rRNA from 1 species